CAGCAGCCGCGGUAAUACCAACCCCGCGAGUGGUCGGGACGUUUAUUGGGCCUAAAGCGUCCGUAGCCGGCCCGGUAAGUCCCUCCUUAAAGCCCACGGCUCAACCGUGGGAGCGGAGGGAUACUGCCGGGCUAGGGGGCGGGAGAGGCCGGGGGUACUCCUGGGGUAGGGGCGAAAUCCUAUAAUCCCAGGAGGACCACCAGUGGCGAAGGCGCCCGGCUAGCACGCGCCCGACGGUGAGGGACGAAAGCUGGGGGAGCAAAGGGGAUUAGAUACCCCCGUAGUCCCAGCUGUAAACGAUGCAGGCUAGGUGUUAGGCGGGCUUCGUGCCCGCCUAGUGCCGUAGGGAAGCCGUUAAGCCUGCCGCCUGGGGAGUACGGCCGCAAGGCUGAAACUUAAAGGAAUUGGCGGG
rnacentral:rRNA from 1 species